AAUACGACUCUCGGCAACGGAUAUCUCGGCUCUCGCAUCGAUGAAGAACGUAGCGAACUGCGAUACUUGGUGUGAAUUGCAGAAUCCCGUGAACCAUCGAGUCUUUGAACGCAAGUUGCGCCCGAAGCCAUCAGGCCAAGGGCACGUCUGCCUGGGCGUCACGU
rnacentral:rRNA from 1 species